rnacentral:rRNA from 1 species
UACAGAGGGUGCGAGCGUUAAUCGGAAUUACUGGGCGUAAAGCGCGCGUAGGCGGUUAUUUAAGUUGGACGUGAAAUCCCCGAGCUUAACUUGGGAAUUGCGUCCAAAACUGGAUGACUAGAGUAGAGUAGAGGUGAGUGGAAUUUCCGGAGUAGCGGUGAAAUGCGUAGAUACCGGAAGGAACACCAGUGGCGAAGGCGACUCACUGGACUCUAACUGACGCUGAGGUGCGAAAGCGUGGGGAGCAAACAGG